rnacentral:rRNA from 1 species
AACACCCAAGCAGUUGUAUAUAAAGCAUCAAUCGAUUCAUUAAUAUGCAAAGCAACUUGAUUUAGUUAUACGCUUAGCUAAAAUGAACAAAAUAUAGUAAGACUCAAUCAGCCCAUCUGUAAAGAUUUGGAAAACGCAUCGGCAACCAAUAAGACCAAUGCAAGUAUCCAUACCAGUUGUGCUGGCGACCAUAGCAAGAGUGAACCACCUGAUCCCUUCCCGAACUCAGAAGUGAAACCUCUUAGCGCUGAUGGUAGUGUGGGGUUUCCCAUGUGAGAGUAAGUCAUCGCCAGCU